rnacentral:rRNA from 1 species
CAGUAGUCCACAGCCAUCUCCGUCUCCGGCCACCGCAUCGCCAUGGCCUCCGCCUCGUCCGGCGCCGCGGCCUUCUCCCGCCUCGUCGACCGCACCCGGGUCCCGGACCCCACGCUCCAGCGCCACGCCGUCGCGGCCUUCUUCCGCCAUCUCCUCACGCUGUCCCCUCCUCUCCCCGCGGCCGCCCACGACGGCAUCUCCUCCCUCCUCGCUUCCCCGCACGCCGCUGUCGCCGCCUACGCCUCCGCGUCCCUCGCCCGCCUCGCGGUCUCCCGCACCGACCUCCUCGCCCCCGACGAGGCCCUCCCGUUCCUCAUCGCAUCCCUCUCCGCUUCCCCGUCUCCCCGCCUGGCCUCAUGCCUCGUCAAGGCCGUAGCCGCGCUCGUUUCCUGCGUCCUCCGCUCGGGCCCCGCUGGCUCACGCUUCCCGCCCCACAACCACCCCUUCGUCCAGGCUCUCGCGUCGGCUGCUGACGGCGCGCGCGCGGAGCUGUCGCGGCAGGCGGCCAGGAUGGUCGCCGAGGGGGUCGACGGCGUGGUGGGGUUCCUGAGGCCGUUCGUGAUGUUUGCCGUGGUGAGGAAGGGGGACGCCGCGUUCGCGAGGGAUUUGAUAGGCGCGCUUGCCGCAGCGGCCACUGCAGCGGGUAAAUCGGGCGGGGCAGUCCCAGUGCUGAAAUUGCUCGGCGAGAGCUUGCUGCAUUUCGGCCGCGGGGAUGGGGAGGAAGGGCGGCUCUGGCUUAGUUCUGUGGAGUGCUUGGUCGAUGCGUACGUGAUAUUACUGAGGAAGUUAGCUCAUGCUCAAAGGCCAGCCUAUGAUGCCCAAGCAAGUAGUGUGGAGUUGCUAGAAAUACUUUUGUCGCAAUGUUCACUUCAUCACCAACUUCUGGGAAUGUCUUGUGCAGUUCUUCAAUUAUCAAAAUAUUUGUUUUCGGUGCAAAAGGACCUUGGGUUAUGCUAUCUUCCUGAAAUUUCUGGUGUUCUCAGUUCUCCUUCUUGCAUUCUCGGUGUGCUGGAGUUUGAAUCUGAGCAACUGGCUGGAUUGAAAUUUCUGGCCUUCUUGAUUGAAUGGAGACAUGAAAAUGCGGUCAAAACAAAUGAAGUGGUACACCACUUUAGUGAGGAGCUUCUCUGUGUUCUGCCAGUUAUCAACCUCGUUAUUUCUCCAUCGAGAUCUGUUAAAGCAGUGGCAUCCCAUGUGCUGUCAAGAUUUAGCUUGCUUGUUUUGGAGUUACCUGCUUCUUGUUCAUCAGAGAAACGAGACAUUUCAAUGGUCCACCACAUAAGCAGACCUACCUUUAUCCUUCCUAAACUUGUACAUCAUCUAUGGUCUCAGUCAUCUUCAGGUUUCUUUUUUACGAAGUAUGCAAUUUGCAAGGGAUUGCCGGAGUCAGCUGCAAACUAUUCAGAAGCUAAUUAUUGGACAGACCAAAUAAACGAGUAUCUGUCAGUCCUUGCCAGAGAAAAGCUUACACUGGAUGGCUCAUCUUCAAAAACGAUGUCAUCAGCACCAAUAUCAUCGCUUGUAAGCUCUGUAGUAUCUGUUUUGGUAAUGCACCCAAAACUUGGUACUUCUGCUGCUCGUUCCUUGGGUAAUCUUGGUGCAUCAGAUUCGAAACUGGGAAUGCCGCUGUUGCUAGUUAUCCUCUUCUAUUGCAAGAUUAUGUACAGCAAUGAUAACCUCUCAGCAAAUAGCUUGCUCAGUUUGCUUGAGUCGUUGCCAUCACUUGCUACACAUGGUUUUGUGCUUCCACUUGCUCUGCAAUUGAUAUCACCAAUGCUUAAAAAGGAUGCAAAAUCGACUCUGUAUGCUAUUGCUGUUCGAUUGCUUUGCAAGAUAUGGAUUAUCACAGAUUGGGCAUUUCCAAACUUACAAGGAGUUCUGGAUCCUGAAACAUUUUCCAGUUUCACUACUGAUAGAGAAGUUUUCACAAGUAUUGCUGCAUCAGUGCGUGAUGUUUGCAAGCAGAACCCAGAUAGAGGUGUCGAUCUCAUAUUAUCUGUCUCGUCUUGUAUUGAGAGCCGUGAUUCUGUAGUUCAAGCUCUUGGCCUGGAGAGCCUCUCCUAUCUCUGUGAGGCGGACAUCGUGGAUUUUUAUACUGCCUGGAAAGUUAUAUCAAAGGAGCUGAAAGAUUAUUCAAUUGAUCCCAUGGUUUCAAAUGGCUUAUGCAUUUUGUUGAGAUGGGGAGCAAUGGAUGCUGAAGCAUAUUCUGAAACAUCAAAGAACUUGAUACAAACAUUGUGGAGCAUUGGUACAUACAAGAAAAAUAACGCCGAAGCUGAUCAUCUUUGGAUUAAAGCAAGAGGAACUGCUUUUCAUUCAUUGUCCCACUACAAGAUCUCACUUAUUCAAGAUUCUAUUCCUGAUUUCUGGAGGAGAAACUAUGAGUGCUUUACUAAUGAACAUAAUCUGGAAGUUCUCAAAGCUAUGGAGAACUUUCAAGUCGAGAUUAUCAAAUUUGAGCACAUAAACCGCCGUAGAGUGACCACAGAUAAAAGAACCACGGUGCACAAAUUUGAGAAGUUAUUGGAUGUUCUCCCUCAGUCCGUGUUUAAAGAAAAAUCCGCACACCAUCGGUUGCCUGGUGCAGCUCUUUUAACCAUCAAGUUUUCCUCAGAGGACAUCCUUCGUGAAGGAAAAUCUAAGGGUUUGUCUAGAGUACAUGCUGCAUAUGAGCAGGCAUUAAUGGAGAUGGCUGAAUCUAUGUUUAUAUCAAGAAACAUUGUGGUAGCUCUUCUUGCUUUGCAUUCAUGGAAAUCAUUUGUCUCCCAUUGGAUGCAGGCAGCUGUAACUUUGCUUGACACUAAAGAAUCUUCAAAGUUGAAUAAACCUUUAAAAGCAGCUAACGAUAUUUUUAAGAUAUUGUGCAAGUGCGUUCCUGUAUCUAAUCCUAGAGUUGCUGUUAACAUUACUCUUGCAAUUGGAGCGCUGUGCUUGGUAGUUCCUCCGACUGCCCAUCUAGUAAUCACAUCUGCAUCUGAUUUUCUUUUGAAAUGGUUACUGCAAUAUGAGCAUGAGCACCAACAGUGGUCUGCAGCUAUCUCUUUGGGAUUUAUAUUCAAUUGUUUUCACCCCACGGACAAAAAAAGCAAGCUUCAGGUUAUUGAUGGACUCUUUGAGGUUAUCUCAAAUGCUGAUAGUUAUCUUGUAAAAGGAGCUUGUGGACUGGGAUUAGGUUAUGCUUCCCAAGGUCUUCUAACCAGAGCAGAUAGUACAUCUGAUUCAGACUUAGAAGCAACUACACAAUUCAACGAACGUGCAUCAGUUAAAGAAGUUCUUCACACUCUGACUGCUUCAUUAGUUAAACUAUGUCCAUCCUCAUGUCAUUCUCUCAAGAAACUAAGUAUUUGUGGAACAUUCUCCAUGGAAGGAAUGGAAGAAAAUUAUGACAGCUUAGAUGAUGAUCCUUGGGCUAUUGCGGGACUUGUUCUUGGUCUGGGAAACUCUGUUGUUGCUCUGUAUAGGCUUGGAGCUUAUGAAGACGUUAUUGAAAUCAAGAACAUAUUGAUAUCAUGGAUACCAGAUGUUGAUUCAAGCUCUGUGCUAUUUGAUGAAGUAAAUUCAGUAUCCCUGUGUAUGGGCUCUUGCCUUGCUCUGCCAUCUGUGAUAGCAUUUUGCCAGAGAGUGGAGUUACUGAAUGAUGAUUUGGAUGCUCUGUUCAAUCGCUACACUUCUUUAGCUACUGAACUCCUGAACCUCAAGAAAUCUGGAACUGUCUUUCAGAAUUUAUUGAUGGCUAUCUGUAUCGGUGCUGGAUCUUUGCUGUCUGGCAUAUUGAAUGAUGGGGUGCAUGCCAUGAAAUUUGCUGAUGUUAAGAAGUUUCUUGACAGUCUUAAAUAUAUAUACACCCAUCCUUAUCCUCCUCUUGUCCAUUUGGGAGGCAUGUUUGGUGCUGUCAAUGCUUUUGGUGCAGGUGCUGGAGACCUCACUGGGAUUGGUUGGCAAUCAAUGAAUUCACAGAUAAAGCAUGAGAAGGAGUCAACUUUGGUGCGAGGUCCUCUACUUACAAGUCCUGUUGGCGAGACUCUUUCAACGUCAAUGGUUCAGGAAAUAUUUCUUCUUGCCAAGGACGCAGAGGAUAAUCACGUACGGAAUUAUGCUGCAUGGGCUGUAUCAUUUCUUAGAAGUAGGUGGUUAUUAGAGAACCAAAGUCUUAAUGAUAAUGAUUCUUCUCAAAGAAAUUCCGUUGAUUCCAGUCAAUCAAGAAGUUUUUCUGCUGAAAGCUUAGUGUGGAACUUAAGUCUCUGGCUGAGGGAUCUUAACUUUGAAAAGCCUGGUGAUGUAGUGCCAGUAAAUACAAUUGCAACAGUUUUGAAAUGCCUUACUAAAGCUCCUAGAGUGCCAGCUAUAGACUGGGGGGUUAUAGUACGGCGGUGCAUGAAAGUUGAGGCACAAAUUCCUCAGAAGUCAACCAAUCAUCGAGAUCCUACAUUAUUAAGGGAAGAAUGCUUAUAUUUUUCUCUAGCUCAUGCCGAUCAUAUCAGUCCCCUUCUACAGUUUUUGGAUGAUCUGACAGAUUUACCCAGGUUCAGGAGAUUAGAAAUGAACGUGCAGUCUGUUUUGCUCCAAUAUUUGUCACACCUAAUGAAGCUCUUCUCUGAUUCAAGAUCUAAGAAACUGUACGAGGAUUUAGCUGUGUACUUCUGUUCCCACUUAUCUUCACACUUGGAUUACUCUUCUGAGCAGAGAAGCAUGUUAAGAAUGUCCUUCUGGAAAGGCAUCUGUAAGUGCCUGAUGGAGGUGGUCUCUGAAGAGACCGACAGUUUCUCUUAUGUUAAAAAAUGCAUCGAAUGCUUGUUACCUCUGUUGAAUCUCUGUAAUGAUGGUCAACCUGAAUUCGUGGACGAAUGGUCUGCUGCUAUCAAGUGUCUCAUUGUUGCUCAGAAAAGUUGGCCGGGUGAUAUGCUACAGGUGCACAGUACCACAUCCUUAAGUGAAGGAGAACAUGUUGAUGCGGCAAGGAAGAUUAUCAUCAGGGCAAGGUUGUGUUUUGCUGGUUGCAUUUCUGCACUUGAGCUGGGGAACAUAAAGACUACCAUACUGAGUACAACAGCUGAUGGCGUCUGGUGGAACGUUCUUGUUGAGGUUGCAGCAGCUGUAUACUCUGCUGACAAUGGUAUAAAGAAGCAGUGGCUUUUGGAUGCAUUAGACAUUGGUUGUGUUACAGCUCAUCCCUCCACGGCACUGCGUUUUGUUGGCCUGCUAUGUGGUAGCUGUUGUAUCUAUAUGCCACUUCUCAUUGUUAAUCCAACAAACGUACUGAGUGAUUUGCCCGUCACGCUGCCUUCCUUUCUCUCCAGCAGCAUUUGGGAUGACCUUAGAAACUCUGCCGCCGAUAAGUUAUGGUUGUUGACCACUCGCAUCUACAUGUGGGCAGAACAAUUGACUCGUGGAGAGGGCCUUCCUUGCCAUGAUCAUAUUCAUCGAAGUGAAGCUGAGAAUGCAACUUUUCUUGCGAACAUGCUGCGCUCUACAUGCAUCGCAGUGGAAGAUCACUUCACUGUAGAUAAACAGCUAAAGCUUGCAAACCUGGAGGCAUUAUGAGUGUAUGGAGAACUGAUUAUCAUUUUAACGAUCUGUAUGCAAUAGCAUAUUUGUCUAGAACACCUAUUAUUGCUGUUUUAACUGAUGAUGUAGCAAUGCCUUUGUUGUAUAUAAUUUUAGUUAGUUUCCCCAUAUAUUUUAAGUGAUGGUUCUUAGUGUGAACAUAAUUUGGUGGAAGAUAACCGGAGAAUAAAAUUGCUGUGUUCUCUGAAUUUAAUUGCACUAUGCAACAAUUUCUUAUCGUCAAACU